UACGGAGGGUGCAAGCGUUAUCCGGAUUUACUGGGUUUAAAGGGUGUGUAGGCGGAUCUUUAAGUCAGCGGUGAAAUCUCCGGGCUCAACCCGGAAACUGCCAUUGAUACUACUGGUCUUGAAUAUUGUGGAGGUGGGCGGAACGGGUCAUGUAGCGGUGAAAUGCUUAGAGAUGACCCGGAACACCGAUUGCGAAGGCAGCCCACUACGCAAUGAUUGACGCUGAGGCACGAAAGCGUGGGGAUCAAACAGG
rnacentral:rRNA from 1 species